UCGUCUCUCUCCGAUCACUUCCGACCGAGACAAGAAGACCUUUGGGGACAAGUGGAACAGAAACCGGUGCCGAUAUCGUCUAAAUGUCCAUGAGUUGCAUUCACACGUUGAAUCGAGGAUAACCCCGAAUUAACUUCUGGUCCUCGGCCAGACCAACUGUCUCAAGCGUGGUUACACAUUCAACAAGAAUCUCUCUGUACCCGAAAGCAAAUUCUGCCAACUGUUGACCAGCAGGAUAGAUAUUCGUCUCUCUCCUCUCACAUCCGACCGAGACUAGAAGACAUUUGGGAAAAAGAAGUACAGGAACCGGUUCUGAUAUCGUCUAAAUGUCCAUGAGUUCCAUUCACACAUUGUAUCCAUGAUAACCGCGAAUUUCCUUCUGGUCUUCUGCUAGACCAACUAUCUCAAGAAUGCUUACACCCUCAACAAAAAUCUCUUUGUACCUGAAAGCAAAUUCUGCCAACUGUUGACCAGCGGGAUAUGCGAGAGAGUUUUCACUCUCCGAUCAUUUCCGAUCGAUUGCAGCAGACACUUUGGGAACAAUAUCAGGAGAUUAACAGGUACAGGUGCCAAUAUCGACUAAAUGUCCUUGAGAUGUAUUCGAACCACGAAUCCAGGAUAAUCGCGAAUUCCCUUCUGGACCUAUGCCAGACCACCUGUCACAAGAAUAUUUGCAUCCUCAAACACAGCAGCUCUAUCCCCGAAAGUAAAUUAAUCUGCCAACUGUUGAACAGCGGAAAGAGACUCUGAGAAUCCUCGGUGGGAUGGACCAGAGCGUCAGCAACAUGACUGUGAAUAUGGGAAGAAAGGACUCACGGAAGGAAGCUGAACCUGAUGUAUCGUACGCGGAAGUUAAUUUCAAGACCCCCUCGGCACCCCGG